rnacentral:rRNA from 1 species
CCUACGGGUGGCUGCAGUGGGGAAUAUUGCACAAUGGAGGAAACCCUGAUGCAGCGACGCCGCGUGAGUGAAGAAGUACUUCGUUAUGUAAAGCUCUAUCAUCAGGGAAGACAAUGACGGUACCUGAGUAAUACGCCCCGGCUACCUACGUACCAGCCGCCGCGGUCAUACGGAGGGGGCAAGCGUUAUCCGGGUUUACUGGGUGUAAAGGGAGCGGAGACGGCAGUGACAGUCUGGCUGUAAAGGCGGGGGCUCAACCCCCGGACUAGUCUGGAAACUGUAAGGCUGGAGUGCAGGAGAGGUAAGUGGAAUUCCUAGUGUAGCGGUGAAAUGCGUAGAUAUUAGGAGGAACACCAGUGGCGAAGGCGGCUUACUGGACUGUAACUGACGUUGAGGCUCGAAAGCGUGGGGAGCAAACAGGAUUAGAUACCCGAGUAGUC